rnacentral:rRNA from 1 species
UACGGAGGGUGCGAGCGUUGUUCGGAAUCACUGGGCGUAAAGCGCGUGUAGGCGGCUCGAUAAGUCUGGUGUGAAAGCCCGGGGCUCACCCCCGGAAGUGCACUGGAUACUGUCGAGCUCGAGUUCCGGAGAGGAAAGUGGAAUUCCUGGUGUAGCGGUGAAAUGCGUAGAUAUCAGGAGAAACACCGGUGGCGAAGGCGGCUUUCUGGACGGUAACUGACGCUGAGACGCGAAAGCGUGGGGAGCAAACAGG